UAACAGGAGAAAGCUUGCUUUCUUGCUGACGAGUGGCGGACGGGUGAGUAAUGCUUGGGAAUCUGGCUUAUGGAGGGGGAUAACGACGGGAAACUGUCGCUAAUACCGCGUAGUGUCGAGAGACGAAAGUGCGGGACUGAGAGGCCGCAUGCCAUAGGAUGAGCCCAAGUGGGAUUAGGUAGUUGGUGGGGUAAAGGCCUACCAAGCCUGCGAUCUCUAGCUGGUCUGAGAGGAUGACCAGCCACACUGGAACUGAGACACGGUCCAGACUCCUACGGGAGGCAGCAGUGGGGAAUAUUGCGCAAUGGGGGGAACCCUGACGCAGCCAUGCCGCGUGAAUGAAGAAGGCCUUCGGGUUGUAAAGUUCUUUCGGUAUUGAGGAAGGUUGAUGUGUUAAUAGCACAUCAAAUUGACGUUAAAUACAGAAGAAGCACCGGCUAACUCCGUGCCAGCAGCCGCGGUAAUACGGAGGGUGCGAGCGUUAAUCGGAAUAACUGGGCGUAAAGGGCACGCAGGCGGUUAUUUAAGUGAGGUGUGAAAGCCCCGGGCUUAACCUGGGAAUUGCAUUUCAGACUGGGUAACUAGAGUACUUUAGGGAGGGGUAGAAUUCCACGUGUAGCGGUGAAAUGCGUAGAGAUGUGGAGGAAUACCGAAGGCGAAGGCAGCCCCUUGGGAAUGUACUGACGCUCAUGUGCGAAAGCGUGGGGAGCAAACAGGAUUAGAUACCCUGGUAGUCCACGCUGUAAACGCUGUCGAUUUGGGGGUUGGGGUUUAACUCUGGCG
rnacentral:rRNA from 1 species